ensembl:lncRNA
AUGUCCCAGAGGCCCCAGUCUGGACCCCAGAGCGCCCAGCCAGGUUUCCUUCCAGGAGCUCCCAGUAAUACUCAAAAUGAGACUGAAGUCUCUCCACCAAUUACUUACAGGCCCCAGGUCAGAAUCCAAGACUCUCAGCCCAUUAUCAACAGUGGCCAGGUCAGCAUCCAAGAGCCCCCGCCCAUUAUCCAUAAUCGCCGGGUCAGCAUCCAAGAGCCCCCGCUCAUUAUCCAUAAUCGCCGGACCAGCAUCCAAGGGCCCCCACCCAUUAUCAACAGUCACCGGGUCAGCAUCCAAGAACCCUUGUCCAUUAUCCACAAUCGCCGGGUCAGCAUCCAAGACCCCCCAGUAGUCCACAGUCGCUGGGCCAGUAUCCAAGAUGUGCCACCCAUUAUCAACAGUUGCUGGGUCCGUACUGAGGACACGCCAUCCACUGUGAGCGGUCAUCGGCUCAGUAUCCAAGAUACACCGUCAGUUACCUACAGUCACCGUUUGAAGACCCAAGAUGUUCCACCAAUUCUCCAAACUCACCACUUCAGCAUCCAAAACUCUCUAUUACUUCCUCACGUCUCCCUGAACAAUGUAGAGUCCCUUAACUACAAUAGUAGUCAAGUCCGUAGCCAAGACCACUUUCCAACAAGUCAGAGUCCUUGUUUGAGUACUCAAUGCCUCACAUUGCCAAUCCGGGCCAAAGUCGAUGUCCCCCCUUCAAUUACUCACAGCCCCACCGCCAGUGUCAAAAGCACUGAUUCAAUCAUCUGGACCACCCAGGAGAGUUUCAAAGACUCUAUGGACAGCUCCCUAUACAACCCAAGUACUCUAGACAACAAUAUCCAGAGCAUACGAUCAAGCAGAUCUGCUGAGAUGGAUUCUGGCGGGUGUCAGAGAAGGAGUAAAUGCAGCUAUUCACAGCUGCCCAUGGGCUGGCGGCUGCUGCAUGGAGCCAAGAAGAUCAGCCGUCAGGUGAGCCUGGCACUGAGCCUGGCUGGCAUGGUGAUCAUCGGUCUCAUCACCCUGGGCCAGCCCUGGAUCCACUUCCAGGUUCCAUUGACACCCCCUGGGGAUCCUGAUGGCCCCUCGACCAUCCCCAUCAACACCAUCUUCUUUGUGCAGUGCCCUGACAUCUCCUGCCUUCAUGAGUACGACCAGAAUGCUUACUUGCUGGACUUUGCCUGGGCCUUUCUCAUCCUUGCCAGUAUUGCCGGCUUCUGCCUCUGCAUCAUGCUCAUAAACAUCGUCUUCUUCACCAGCUCCAACUUACCUGUGCUGGACUUCUCCAACGUCAUCAUCAGCAUCCUGACAGGGGCCAGCAUGAUACUGGGCAUCCUGUUCUACCUGAUGCAGGCCCAUGAGUACCUGCAGGAAGGCAUGACCUACACUCUGGGGCUCAGCUUCUACCUGGCGUGGACCGGCAUCUUUCUCUUCCUGAUGAGUGGUUUCCUUUCCUAUCUGAACUACAUGAACUUCUGGUCCAUCCUGGCGCUCCAGGCCAUCUGGACUUGAUGGCGCUCCAGGACACAGGAAUGACCCCACCGCUGGCCUGCUCCCACAGCUCCCUGCCAGGCACUUGACAACCCUACUCUCUAGUCCCCCACCCCCACUGAGAGUCUUGCCCUUUUCGGUCCCCUCUUAAUCCCCCCACUCAGAUUAAUAAUUUAAAUAAUCUGUACCUUUUGCCCAGAAUAUUCUCUUAGCUCAGUACCUUCUAAGUGUUCUGUGGAAAUGCCAACUCUCACGGGGGCCAUCCCUUGGGCCCUCUGGGGUAGAGGGACAGGUGAGGGAAGCGAUUCAGAGGAAAGAGACGCAAGGCACAAGGUCAACAAAGAGGCUGUGCCAAUGGUUCCUGGCAUACCUACAAAUGGUGUCAAUAUUUGUUGAAUAGCUGAUUCUCUCCAAGCCCUUAGGGCUUCAUCUUUUACUUCCCAGACCCCCAAUAAUGUGCCCCUCCUGAGGUAAAUUCUCCCUGCACCCACACCUCACCUCCUGCCCUUACCAGCAGCCCCUGUCAUCACUUCCUCUUUCUUCUUGCCAAACUCCUCCAACACAGGGCUGUUUCUAAAAAUUGUCUAUCUGUCUAUCUAUCUAUCUAUCUAUCUAUCCAUCCAUCCAUUUUUAAGGCUGUUCCAUGUAGCAUAUUUUUGCUAUCAGAGUCAUUUGUUGAACAAGGCACGGUUGAAACUCAAGUACAAAUUUACCUCACUACCUGGGUCCCCCUACAGGCCCUUGACCUGGGGGGGGGUCCCCUCUACCUCCCUUUCACACAGUGGUUAAGCUGGAAGGGUUGAGUCUAGGCUCUGCCACCUACUAGCUCCGUGACCUGUGUCCAGGCAUUGACCCAUCCGGGUCUCAGUUUCCUCAUCUGUAAAAUGGGGGUAAUGAUAGUACUUCAAUCUAGAUAGAGUUUAACAUAACACCUAGUUUGUGCUCUUUAAGGGUUGCUAAAAUAAUCCGCUUCUCUCCCACAAAAGGCUCUCAAAUUUGUUCAUCUUUAAUGAAAAUAAGCUGCAACUAUAUGCCAGAGACUGGAUCUAUCGCAGUGAUCAAACUAGACACACAUCCUUGUUUUUAUGGCUUCACAUUUCCGCAGGGAGGCGAAACAGAUAUGUCAGGGGUAAGUGCCAUGAGGAAAAACAAAGGAGGGGGAUAGAGAUGGGUCUGGGAAGGGGCAGGGGCUCUAUGCCAAGGUAAUAUCUGAGCAGAGAUAUGAUUGAAGAGAGGAGAGCUAUGGGGACAGGUUGGGGGAAAGGCUUCCCGGCAGAGGGAACAGCAAAAGUUCUGAGCUACAAACGUCCUUGGCAGGUUCCAGGAAGAUUAGGGAAGCCAAUUACUAGUGUACCCGGAGCAAGGGAGAGGGAGACAGGGACAGAGGGGGAACAGGGGCUAGGUCCCUCCGGGCCUUGUGGGCCACAGUGAAGACUUUGCUUUUUACUCUGGGUGAGGCAAAAGCCAGUGAAGAAAGGUCUCCUUUUCUUAAUACAAGGAUAUGUUCCUUUUACAUCAGACUAUAAGCUUCGUGGGAGGUGUCUCCUCACCGGAAGAAGACGACCCAAAUGACCAGCUAAACAAUGUGUGUUCCACUCACAGAAGGGAAUAUUUGGCCCCCGUUUAAGGAAUGAGGUCACUCUGUACUGAUCCGGGGGAGACUAUUUAGGGGACAAACUGGAAUGAAAAAAAAAAAAUCGCUACCCAUAACAUGUGUGCGUAUACAGCCAUAAAAUAAAAAGUCCACACCACACUGUUGACA